rnacentral:rRNA from 1 species
CAGCUAGUUGGUAGGGUAAAAGCCUACCAAGGCUGUGAUCGGUAGCCGGCCUGAGAGGGCACACGGCCACACUGGCACUGAAACACGGGCCAGACUCCUACGGGAGGCAGCAGUGGGGAAUCUUGCACAAUGGGGGAAACCCUGAUGCAGCGACGCCGCGUGAGCGAUGAAGCCCUUCGGGGUGUAAAGCUCUUUCGGCAGGGAAGAUUAUGACGGUACCUGCAGAAGCAGCUGCGGCUAACUACGUGCCAGCAGCCGCGGUAAUACGUAGGCAGCAAGCGUUGUUCGGAGUUACUGGGCGUAAAGGGUGUGUAGGCGGCCUGUUAAGUUCCGUGUGAAAUCUCCCGGCUCAACCGGGAGGGUGCGCGGAAAACUGGCGGGCUAGAGUGCGGGAUGGGAAAAUACA